UUUAAUGGCCGCAGUAUUUUGACUGUGCAAAGGUAGCAUAAUCAAUAGUUUCUUAAUUAGAAGCUGGAAUGAAAGGUUGAACGAGAAAAUUACUGUCUCUUUAAUAAAUUAAUAAAAUUUUAUUUUUAAGUUAAAAAGCUUAAAUUAAUUUAAAAGACGAGAAGACCCUAUAGAGUUUUAUAAAUUUUUAUAUAAUAUUUUUUUAUUAAUGAUUUUAAUUUUAUAUAAAAUUUUAUUUGGUUGGGGUGAUUUAAAAAUUUAAUUAACUUUUUAUUAUAAAAACAUAUAUUUAUGAUUGAUUGAUCCAUUAUUUAUGAUUAAAAGAUUAAAUUACCUUAGGGAUAACAGCGUAAUUUUUUUUUAGAGUUCAAAUCGAUAAAAAAGUUUGCGACCUCGAUGUUGGAUUAAAAUUUAUUUUUGGUGUAGAAGCUUGAAUAAUUAGGUCUGUUCGACCUUUAAAAUUUUACAUGAUCUGAGUUUAAACCGGUGUAAGCCAGGUUGGUUUCUAUCUUUAAAAUUAUUAAAAUAUUUUAGUACGAAAGGACCAAUUAUUUUUAAUAUUUAAUUUAUUAUUUGAAUAAUAUU
rnacentral:rRNA from 1 species